GGAGGAGUCAGUCACGCACAUCAGCCUUAGACUCUGAGCCCAAGCAAGGUGAUUACAAUUAUGAUGAUCUAUUAUUCCACUGUGAAGUUAGGUAGGGGGUCUAUUGAGAAGUUCAGGAAGAUCUUGGUCAGGGAAAUCAUCUUCUCCAACUAACUUGCCAAGCCUGAUUCCUGAUUUUACCUUUCACUAUAUAACAUACCUACCCACUCUUUAUACCCAAGUGUCUUACCCAGGGGUGAAGAACUGAAACAUCUUCCUGAACCAGCCUCUGUCACCACUGUCCUCCUGGCAGCAUCCUGAAUUGCGAAGAGCCACCCCGCCCCCCAGACAUUCAGUGACCUAGACUCAGACCUCUGGGGAAGGACACAGUCUCCAGGCUCAGCCAGUAGGCAGGGGACUGUGACAGAAAGGGACAUGUGGCCAAGUCCCUCUGGUGAGAUACAAACCUGGACUUUGGCCAAACCUGGUUUUCAACCUAGAAGCAUCUUUCUCCUGGACCUGGAAGCGAUCCCUUUGAAACACAGUCAUAAAGACAGGGCCUCUGUCUCCUGGGUCCUGUGGGAAGAGUCCUCAGGUGACCUUGGGAGUUCAUGCUUCCUCUCUAAGCCUUCGACCCCAAGCUGAAACAGUGGAGCUGCUGGAGAUGGUACUGGGUGCCCCUGCUAGCUGAGACAUUGCAGGACUUUUGGGACACGAGGUUCUGCCACUCUGAUCAGUCGUCAUCACCGUGUGUGCACAAGAGAACCCUGCAGAGCUUCCCAUGCUACAGCCAUUCAAACCUCUAAUCCUUGGAAUCCUGGUGUGGGAAAACUCAAGUGAAAAUGCCCAGGAAAUUCUGAUUGCUGCAGAGACAUUGAGGGAAUCAGCGAAUCUGGCAAUGAGGCUGGAGUGCAGUGGUGCCAUCUCAGCUUACUGCAACCUCUGACUCCCUGGUUCAAACGAUUCUCCUGCCUCAGCCUCCCGAGUAGCUGGGAUUACAGGUGUGUGCCACCACGUCUGGGGUUUCACCAUAUUGGCCAGGAUGGUCUCGAUCUCCUGACCUCAUGAUCCGCCCGCCUCGGCCUCCCAAAGUGCUGGGAUUACAGGCAUGAGCCACUGUGCCCGGCCUCUGAUGGUUUCAUAAGGGGCUUCCCCCUUCGUUUGGCUCUAAUUCUCUCUCCUGCCACCCUGUGAAGACGUGCCUUCCGCCAUGAUUAGCUUGAGGCACCAUGACACAGAAACCAAGGACACAUGACUUCAGAUACUUAAGAAAACUCAUGUCAUCAAAUCACAUCAAGAACAUUGGAUGGCACAUCAAGACCUUCGUAAUAAGUCUUCGUCUCCAGCAGCUGCAGCUCCUGGCAGGCCGAUCUUUGCUGUGACUCCGUGGGUGCUUCUGUCUCCCCAGAUUCCCAGUGGCAGUUUUUCCUUCAACUCCAGUUUUCUGAUGUUCCAAGAACAGUCACUGAUUUUUGGCUAGUCCAGCCUUUCCUUCCGAAGACGGAAAUGACUGCUUUCAAGUUCUCUGCAUGUCAGAGCUUAAACUAGAGGUCCCACAGCAGCAGAGCCUUUCAACAAGGAGUUACGCAUGCAGGACCUGUGAGCCUCCUCCAUUCCGGCUUCAGAAUGGACACGGCCCCAUCACCCAUCUCUUCUGCCUCCCUGGCCCUUUGUGCCCCACAGAAUAGGACAGAUUCCUUAGCAGGACAUUCAAAGCCCUUCACUGAGUGUCCUCCACCUGCCCCUUCUGUCCUAACUCCCAGCCAGCACUCUGAGAUUGCUUCAAGUGACCUGGCGUUGGGAGCAGCAGCGUGGUGUGGUUACAACUGCAGGUUCCUGAGCAAGACUGCAGCAUAGUUGUCAAGAUUCAAGCUUUUCUUUCCCUUCUGUUUCUCCUUUCCUCCUUUAUAGAAUGGGGAUGAUAACAUCCCCUUGAUCCUAGACAGGUGCCACCUAUUCUUACUAUUAACCUUGAAAGCACAACACUGAAUGCACUUUGCUUCUCCUAUUUCCCUGUCCCUAGUUAAUGGGUGCUUGGAUAGCGAGAGCACCCUAGCACUUUGCGUGCGUGUGCAUCACAGAACUUACCAGAGUCCCAUGCCAAUAAGAUUGCCACAAAAAUUAGAGGCAGGCUGCAUGCAGUGUCUCACACCCACAAUCCCAGCACUUUGGGAGGCCAAGGCAGGUAGAUCCCUUCAGCCUCCUCUCAUCAACAGCUCUUGUUAUAGUUGCUAUUUUUCUUUUAAUGAUGUAAAUCUUUGAUUUCCUUAUUUUUCCUCAACAUGGAUCGGUGAGCUCCAUGAUGGCCUGGCUUACUCAAUAAUAAGAUCUAAUAAAUUGGCUAAUCGAGUCCAACAGAUAAUUGAUGGGCAUGAACAGUGUUUGCAAUCUUAUUCUACACGAUCUGGUGAUGGAUAUUGACUGAAGCCUUGUAAUUGGUUAGGUUCCUACUCUUUCAUAAAAGAUAUUUAAAAAGUAAACAAACAAGAGGUUUCUCUCAUAGAGUUUAUGAUAUAAUUGAAAGAUGUAUAUAAAAAUUCAAGACAAAUUAGAGAGAAGACUGUUCCAAAUGUGUUGGGGAAAGUUUGAUAAGUGCUCUAAUAAUAUUAAACAUUACAAAGAAAGGAAAAAUGAACAUAUACAUGUGUCUUAUAUAUACAUAUAUGUAUGUGUAUAUGCAUGUAUGUGUGUUUAUGUGUGUACAUAUACACAUAGAUAAUCAUAUGUCUAUGGUCAUAGAUCUAUAACUUGUUAAAUUCUGCUGUUCUGAAAUGAUGUACCUGAACUAGAAAGGUAAUGACCUCGUUGGGAACAUAAAAGUCAUCUGGCAUGUACUCACCAUGAUUCCACUUGUAAUCAUUAAUUUGUAAUCUGUAUGUUUUUUCAUAAUUUCAACAUACGAUUGUCAUUUUAGUUGAUGUUUACUAUAUAUUAAAUAUUUGUGACUAAAAACC
rnacentral:lncRNA from 10 species